AACCUGCCCUAUGAAAAUUUAAAUGGCCGCGGUAUUUUAACCGUGCAAAGGUAGCAUAAUCAUUAGUUUUUUAAUUGAAAGCUGGAAUGAAAGGUUGAAUGAAAAAAUUUCUGUCUCUGUUUGAAUUAUUUAGAAUUUUAUUUUUAAGUAAAAAAGCUUAGCUGUGAUUAGAAGACGAGAAGACCCUAUAGAGUUUAAAUUUAGUUGGGGUGAUUGAAAAAUUUAGUAAACUUUUUUUUUAUUUAAACAUUUAUUUAUGAUUAUUUGAUCCUUAAGUAAAGAUUAUAAGAAGAAAUUACCUUAGGGAUAACAGCGUAAUUUUUUUAGAGAGUUCAAAUCGAAAAAAAAGAUUGCGACCUCGAUGUUGGAUUAAAAUAAAAUUUUGGUGUAGAAGCUAAG
rnacentral:rRNA from 1 species